rnacentral:rRNA from 1 species
AUUGAACGCUGGCGGCAGGCCUAACACAUGCAAGUCGAACGAGUGGCGGACGGGUGAGUACUGUCUGGGACACUGCCUUAUGGAGGGGGAUAACUACUGGAAACGGUAGCUAAUACCGCAUACCAUCAUAUGUGCCCAGAUGGGAUUAGCUAGUAGGUGGGGUAACGGCCCACCAAGGCGACGCUCCCUAGCUGGUCUGAGAGGAUGACCAGCAAAACUGGAACUGAUACACGUUCCAGACUCCUACGGGAGUGAGCAGUGGGGAAUAUUGCACAAUGGGCGCAAGCCUGAUGCAGCCAUGCCUCGUGUAUGAAGAAGGCCUUCGGGUUGUAAAGUACUUUCAGCGGGGAGGCGUUACUCGCAGAAGAAGCACCGGCUAACUCCGUGCCAGCAGCCGCGGUAAUAC